rnacentral:rRNA from 1 species
AACGAACGCUGGCGGCAUGCCUAACACAUGCAAGUCGAACGAGACCUUCGGGUCUAGUGGCGCACGGGUGCGUAACGCGUGGGAACCUGCCCUUAGGUUCGGAAUAACUCCCCGAAAGGGGUGCUAAUACCGGAUAAUGUCUUCGGACCAAAGAUUUAUCGCCUUUGGAUGGGCCCGCGUUGGAUUAGCUAGUUGGUAGGGUAAAAGCCUACCAAGGCGACGAUCCAUAGCUGGUCUGAGAGGAUGAUCAGCCACACUGGGACUGAGACACGGCCCAGACCCGGAGGGGGGAGAGGGGGGGGGAAUAUGAGAGAGGGGGGGAAGGUUGAACAACGCAAGGCGGUGGAGGAGAGAAGGCCGUUGGGGUUUAAAUUUCGUUUACCCCGGAAUGAUAGUGACGGUACGGGGAAAAGAAGCCCCGGCUAACUCCGUG